UACGUAGGGUGCAAGCGUUGUCCGGAAUUAUUGGGCGUAAAGAGCUCGUAGGCGGUCUGUUACGUCGGCUGUGAAAACCUGGGGCUCAACUCCGGGCCUGCAGCCGAUACGGGCAGACUAGAGUUCGGCAGGGGAGACUGGAAUUCCUGGUGUAGCGGUGAAAUGCGCAGAUAUCAGGAGGAACACCGGUGGCGAAGGCGGGUCUCUGGGCCGAAACUGACGCUGAGGAGCGAAAGCGUGGGGAGCAAACAGG
rnacentral:rRNA from 1 species